rnacentral:rRNA from 1 species
AGUGAACGCUGGCGGUAGGCCUAACACAUGCAAGUCGAACGGCAGCACAGUAAGAGCUUGCUCUUACGGGUGGCGAGUGGCGGACGGGUGAGGAAUACAUCGGAAUCUACUUUUUCGUGGGGGAUAACGUAGGGAAACUUACGCUAAUACCGCAUACGACCUACGGGUGAAAGCAGGGGAUCUUCGGACCUUGCGCGAUUGAAUGAGCCGAUGUCGGAUUAGCUAGUUGGCGGGGUAAAGGCCCACCAAGGCGACGAUCCGUAGCUGGUCUGAGUGGAUGAUCAGCCACACUGGAACUGAGACACGGUCCAGACUCCUAAGGGAGGCAGCAGUGGGGAAUAUUGGACAAUGGGCGCAAGCCUGAUCCAGCCAUACCGCGUGGGUGAAGAAGGCCUUCGGGUUGUAAAGCCCUUUUGUUGGGAAAGAAAAGCAGCAGGUUAAUACCCCGCUGUUCUGACGGUACCCAAAGAAUAAGCACCGGCUAACUUCGUG